UUCCAGGAUUCCUAGUGAAGCAUGGA
rnacentral:piRNA from 1 species